rnacentral:rRNA from 1 species
AACGAACGCUGGCGGCAGGCCUAACACAUGCAAGUCGAGCGCCCCGCAAGGGGAGCGGCGGACGGGUGAGUAACGCGUGGGAACGUGCCUCUUGCUACGGAAUAGCCUCGGGAAACUGGGAGUAAUACCGUAUGUGCCCUACGGGGGAAAGAUUUAUCGGCAAGAGAUCGGCCCGCGUUGGAUUAGGUAGUUGGUGGGGUAAUGGCCUACCAAGCCGACGAUCCAUAGCUGGUUUGAGAGGAUGAUCAGCCACACUGGGACUGAGACACGGCCCAGACUCCUACGGGAGGCAGCAGUGGGGAAUCUUAGACAAUGGGCGCAAGCCUGAUCUAGCCAUGCCGCGUGAGCGAUGAAGGCCUUAGGGUUGUAAAGCUCUUUCAGUGGGGAAGAUAAUGACUGUACCCACAGAAGAAGCCCCGGCUAACUCCGUGCCAGCCGCCGCGGUAAUAC